ACGGCAGCGCGGGGCAACCUGGCGGCGAGUGGCGAACGGGUGAGUAAUAUAUCGGAACGUACCCAGAAGUGGGGGAUAACGUAGCGAAAGUUACGCUAAUACCGCAUACGAUCUACGGAUGAAAGUGGGGGACCUUCGGGCCUCAUGCUUUUGGAGCGGCCGAUAUCUGAUUAGCUAGUUGGUAGGGUAAAGGCCUACCAAGGCGACGAUCAGUAGCUGGUCUGAGAGGACGACCAGCCACACUGGGACUGAGACACGGCCCAGACUCCUACGGGAGGCAGCAGUGGGGAAUUUUGGACAAUGGGCGCAAGCCUGAUCCAGCAAUGCCGCGUGAGUGAAGAAGGCCUUCGGGUUGUAAAGCUCUUUUGUCAGGGAAGAAACGGCCUAGGCUAAUACCUUGGGCUAAUGACGGUACCUGAAGAAUAAGCACCGGCUAACUACGUGCCAGCAGCCGCGGUAAUACGUAGGGUGCAAGCGUUAAUCGGAAUUACUGGGCGUAAAGCGUGCGCAGGCGGUUUUGUAAGUCUGACGUGAAAUCCCCGGGCUCAACCUGGGAAUUGCGUUGGAGACUGCAAGGCUG
rnacentral:rRNA from 1 species